CUCUGAUUUGCCCUGUAACCUGUCUCUGAUAGUGCUGUGACUUUAGACAGCCCUGCAGGAUAUGACUCUGAUUUAUGGAUCCUCGCAUUGCUGUGAGCUUUGGUCUCCAGUUGGGCUUUCCUUGCCUGGAUUGAAUUUUCCACAGUCAGUUCCUGAGCAUUACCAGGAUGCUAGGGGUUUUUUGGUCACUUUCAAAAUUCAGAUGUGCUGGGAGGUGUUGGAGGCGACAGAAAUGCUUCAUGGAAUUAGGUUUAAGGCAAGAGGAGAUAACCAAGUAGCAUAACUGGACUCUACCUAAUACAGACCAUGGGAUUUCAUGGAGUCAGUUGUGUCUUGAGCCCUAGAUGUAACUGCUCAGUGUCUUCCAGCAACAAGCUUUUGUUUGCCAAGAGCAUGAGAUGGAAAAUAUACCCAUAUCCUCAGUAGCUUGAAAUCUUAUUACUAAUAAGUGUGUAUCUACACAGUAAACACUAUACAGGAUUAAAACAGAUCUCAAGUAAUUGAAUUUUUUCUCAAAGAUACUUAAAAGUCAUAACUUUAGACAGCACUCUACUUACUUUUACCUCAUGUAACUACUAAAACUUCUAAGUAAGAAGAAAUGGGGAAAAUUUUAUUUUCUGUGUGUAACUGUGAUUAUUUUUUUAUUUGCCAGUUUUUAAUGUAUCUUGAAUUUUUAUUUUGUUGCUUCUCUGUAGUGAAUUCUGUUUUUCAUCGGCAUGUUUUGAAACCAGACAAGAGAAAGCAUUAUUUAAAUUGGGAAAAUGUUAUUACAUAACUACAAAAAAUUGGCAGAGAGAUUCAGAGAAAAUAUUCCAUCUGCCACUAACUUUAAUUAAAUCAAAAGCUCAGAACAGAAAAAAUCAAACACGCACAAACCCAUAAUUCAGUCAAAUUACUUGUAUACUCAGAGUUAUUUUUAUUAUAAAAUAGAAUGACCCCCAAAUAUUUUCCCCCUUUUAUCUACUAUGUGUUGUAUUAUUGUAUAAAACAGAAGAUUUUUUUAGUAAAUAACUCUUUCUCAAACCACAAUGUUCUUGUUUAUUCAUGUUUUGAAAGUCUGCAUAUUACAUUGUGUAGCCCUUGAGCCAUUUUAGGUAGUAUUGAAAUCCUGGUUAGCCUUUUUACCAGUUAUUUUUUCUUCUGUUUCCCUGGAAUAUAAUUUUUGGACGGUUGUUUAACUGAAGAAGGUUGUUUAACCUACUGGCACUUUCUUUAGUGGCAUAAAAUUAACAAAGAAAGUUCUUGUUAAGUGUAUGACAAGAAGAUUAUGAGAAGUUCUCUCCAGAUUGACCAGCAGUUUUUUUCUUAAGACUGCUAAGAUGUCUACUGAUGUCAGUUUGUAUUAGAGAUGCCAAUAAAUUAAUGGGCAUUAUAAGUUAUGAUGAGAGG
rnacentral:lncRNA from 1 species